GUCGAGGGGCAUCGCGGGUGGCAACACCUGGCGGCGACCGGCGAACGGGUGAGUAACGCGUGAGCAACAUGUCCUCAGUCGGGGGAUAAGCGAGGGAAACUUCGUCUAAUACCCCAUAACACUUUCAGGCGCAUGCCUUUAAGUUGAAAGCUUUUUUUGCGACUUUGGUUUGGCUCGCGUGACAUUAGCUAGUCGGUGGGGUAACGGCUCACCGAGGCUACGAUGUCUAGGGGCUCUGAGAGGAAGGCCCCCCACAUUGGGACUGGGACACGGCCCAAACUCCUACGGGAGGCAGCAGUGAGGAAUAUUGGUCAAUGGACGGAAGUCUGAACCAGCCAUGCCGCGUGAAGGAAGACUGCCCU
rnacentral:rRNA from 1 species